rnacentral:rRNA from 1 species
CCUACGGGGCGCAGCAGUGAGGAAUAUUGGUCAAUGGACGCAAGUCUGAACCAGCCAUGCCGCGUGCAGGAAGACGGCUCUAUGAGUUGUAAACUGCUUUUGUACGAGGGUAAACGCAGAUACGCGUAUCUGUCUGAAAGUAUCGUACGAAUAAGGAUCGGCUAACUCCGUGCCAGCAGCCGCGGUAAUACGGAGGAUUCAAGCGUUAUCCGGAUUUAUUGGGUUUAAAGGGUGCGUAGGCGGUCGGAUAAGUUAGAGGUGAAAUCCCGAGGCUCAACUUCGGAAUUGCCUCUGAUACUGUUCGGCUAGAGAGUAGUUGCGGUAGGCGGAAUGUAUGGUGUAGCGGUGAAAUGCUUAGAGAUCAUACAGAACACCGAUUGCGAAGGCAGCUUACCAAGCUACUUCUGACGUUGAGGCACGAAAGCGUGGGUAGCAAACAGGAUUAGAUACCCCAGUAGUC